rnacentral:tRNA from 1 species
GGGGGUAUAGCUCAGUUGGUUAGAGCGCCUGCAUGACACGCAGGAGGUCGAUGGUUCGAGUCCAUCUAUUCCCACCA